AACUUCCAGCCAACCAGAGAGGCAUAUUCCCAGCCCUCACGCUCUGACUCGUCCGGACGCUGCUGUAGGUGGACAAGUACAUAUACACAGUAAACAAUUAAAAAAUUGAUGAUGAACAUUAAGCACAUUUGCGGCAAGGCUCUAAAGUCGGACCCAGGUUUUCUUGCCAAAUGGAUUAGAGAUGCGUGCAAGGACAGGAGAAGACCCCCUGAAAGUACACAGAGCUCUCUAUGUCACGCAAUCCUGAGCUUUACCAGAAUCCCCCAGAAUUCAAAAGGAACUAAACAAAGCUCAGCCCAAGAAUCUUUUUUAACCUCAUCCCAAUUUUUUUACUUGCUCUCAAUAUGAAAAGGUUAUUUUCUGAUUUCUGAUUUUUGGAUUGAAAACAAGAUGAGAGUGG